AGUGAACGCUGGCGGUAGGCCUAACACAUGCAAGUCGAACGGCAGCACAGUAAGAGCUUGCUCUUACGGGUGGCGAGUGGCGGACGGGUGAGGAAUACAUCGGAAUCUACUUUUUCGUGGGGGAUAACGGAGGGAAACUUACGCUAAUACCGCAUACGACCUACGGGUGAAAGCGGGGGAUCUUCGGACCUUGCGCGAUUGAAUGAGCCGAUGUCGGAUUAGCUAGUUGGCGGGGUAAAGGCCCACCAAGGCGACGAUCCGUAGCUGGUCUGAGAGGAUGAUCAGCCACACUGGAACUGAGACACGGUCCAGACUCCUACGGGAGGCAGCAGUGGGGAAUAUUGGACAAUGGGCGCAAGCCUGAUCCAGCCAUACCGCGUGGGUGAAGAAGGCCUUCGGGUUGUAAAGCCCUUUUGUUGGGAAAGAAAAGCAGCAGGUUAAUACCCCGCUGUUCUGACGGUACCCAAAGAAUAAGCACCGGCUAACUUCGUG
rnacentral:rRNA from 1 species